rnacentral:lncRNA from 1 species
UGAGAUCACCCCUAGUUUUUGGUGGGUUUCGUGUUGUUUAUUCUUUAGUUUUCUAUGUUGUGUCAUGUGUACUAUUGUUUUUCUGUUUGUCUUUUUCAUUUUUAGCCAUGGCGUUGUCAGUUUGUUUUAGAUUUAUGAGUUUGACUGUCCCUUUGGUAGGGGGUCUCAUUGGGGGGUGCCGAUCCCGGAUCCCGCUUACUGUUUUGUCACAUUCCCGUUUCCCGCUUACGCUAUGUACGUAAGCAAUUCUCAUUUUUUUGUCAUUUCCCGGAUCCCGCUAGACCUCAUUUCCCGUUUUCACGACACAAUAAUUUGACUUUCACGUUUCACGCUUACAAAAAAUCGGCAAUCCCGCGUCACGCUUAAACCCCAAUGAGACCCAC